GAACUAAUCACAGUCAUGUUGCUCAGAGACGCAAAAACAGUGCUGUGACUGUGUUUGGAAUUAUUUUUGUUGGCGAAAUACAGCAAAAGCAGGAAAUAUGGUGUCUAAAACCAGAAAGAAAGCCAAAUGGGGAAUGAUGCAAGGGAAGCAGAACACCUCAGGUGGGCCAAAUGUCUCUACAGUGCAUUGGUAACAGUCCAAUGCAACUGUCAUGUUGGCCAGUGCAACAUGAACAAGAACUCGCCUCUUUAAAUACAAACAAAUAUUAAAUUAUUCAUACAAACAAAGAUUCCAUUGCUUUGAAGUAA